rnacentral:rRNA from 1 species
UACGUAGGAUGCAAGCGUUGUCCGGAAUUAUUGGGCGUAAAGAGCGCGCAGGCGGUUUGAGAAGUCAGAUGUGAAAGAGGCCGGCUUAACCGGCAAGGGUCAUUUGAAACUGUCAGACUAGAGUGCAGCAGAGGAUAGUGGAAUUCCCGGUGUAGUGGUGAAAUGCGUAGAUAUCGGGAGGAACACCAGUGGCGAAGGCGACUAUCUGGGCUGCAACUGACGCUGAGGCGCGAAGGCUAGGGUAGCAAACAGG